CCUACGGGAGGCUGCAGUGGGGAAUCUUGCGCAAUGGGCGAAAGCCUGACGCAGCGACGCCGCGUGGGUGACGAAGGCCUUCGGGUUGUAAAGCCCUGUGGGGAGGAACGAACCGUCCGGGGGCUAAUACCCUCCGGGCCUGACGGUACCUCUUUAGCAAGCAUCGGCUAACUCUGUGCCAGCCGCCGCGGUAAGACAGAGGAUGCGAACGUUGCUCGGAAUUACUAGGCGGCCUGCGAAGGUAGGUGGCAAAGCCCUCUGCUCAACGGAGGAAGUGCACGGGAUACUGCGAGGCUGGAGUACAGAAGAGGACAGCGGAAUUCCCGGUGUAGAGGUGAAAGUCGUAGAUAUCGGGAGGAACACCAGUGGCGAAGGCGGCUGUCUGGGCUGAUACUGACACUGAGGCGCGAAAGCGUGGGAAGCAAACAGGAUUAGAUACCCUAGUAGUC
rnacentral:rRNA from 1 species